rnacentral:misc_RNA from 1 species
UUAUAUAAACUUUAAUAUACAAUUCUGUAUAAUGACCGUGGCCGAAGCAGAGAAAUUUCGUAAGCUCUGUACAAUAAACCUGAUCGUGUGAUCAAUACGUAAAGCGAGCGUAUAAAAGAAACUUGCAAAAUAUGAUGCAAUGUCAAUGAAUGUAUUUUUUUAUAUAUAUAAAUAUAUAACAAAAUUAAAAUUAUAUAUAAUAUAUGGAUAUAAACUGUCAUGAAAAAUCAAAACUAUAUUUGGCUGUUAGCCGCAGCAGUCAUUACAAUCAUUAUUUACUGUUUCAAAGGUGUUUCUAGUUGGCAAGAAAAUACAUACACCCCCCUCCUCCAUGGAAGACCUCUUCAAGACGGCCCUGAACCUACAUUACACGCUGGGGGAUUCUACUUUUCUAACGACCUAAGUAUGAAAAAAAACAACAACAACAUCCGAUUGGUAUGCCUACCAGCUUAUUCAACUCAAAUUUAUUAACCACUGAACGUUGAAAUAUAUUGUCGCACUGAAAAACGUCUUAAAUCAUAGCCAAUAGAAAUAUACCUAUAUUUAUAGUCUA